UUGGGUCCGGCAUAACCCCGGGAAACUGGGGAUAAUUCCGGAUAACGCACAUAUGCUGGAAUGCUUUAUGCGUAAAAUGGAUUCGUCUGCCCAAGGAUGGGUCUGCGGCCUAUCAGGUAGUAGUGGGUGUAAUGUACCUACUAGCCAACAACGGGUACGGGUUGUGAGAGCAAGAGCCCGGAGAUGGAUUCUGAGACAUGAAUCCAGGCCCUACGGGGCGCAGCAGGCGCGAAAACUUUACAAUGCGGGAAACCGUGAUAAGGGGACACCGAGUGCCAGCAUCAUAUGCUGGCUGUCCACGUGUGUAAAAUACACCUGUUAGCAAGGGCCGGGCAAGACCGGUGCCAGCCGCCGCGGUAACACCGGCGGCCCGAGUGGUGAUCGUGAUUAUUGGGUCUAAAGGGUCCGUAGCCGGUUUGGUCAGUCCUCCGGGAAAUCUGACGGCUCAACCGUUAGGCUUUCGGGGGAUACUGCCAGGCUUGGAACCGGGAGAGGUAAGAGGUACUACAGGGGUAGGAGUGAAAUCUUGUAAUCCCUGUGAGACCACCUGUGGCGAAGGCGUCUUACCAGAACGGGUUCGACGGUGAGGGACGAAAGCUGGGGGCACGAACCGGAUUAGAUACCCGGGUAGUCCCAGCCGUAAACGAUGCUCGCUAGGUGUCAGGCAUGGCGCGACCGUGUCUGGUGCCGCAGGGAAGCCGUGAAGCGAGCCACCUGGGAAGUACGGCCGCAAGGCUGAAACUU
rnacentral:rRNA from 1 species